rnacentral:rRNA from 1 species
UACGUAGGGUGCAAGCGUUGUCCGGAAUUAUUGGGCGUAAAGAGCUCGUAGGCGGUCUGUCGCGUCUGCUGUGAAAAUCCAGGGCUCAACCCUGGACCUGCAGUGGGUACGGGCAGACUAGAGUGCGGUAGGGGAGAUCGGAAUUCCUGGUGUAGCGGUGAAAUGCGCAGAUAUCAGGAGGAACACCGGUGGCGAAGGCGGAUCUCUGGGCCGUAACUGACGCUGAGGAGCGAAAGCAUGGGAGCGAACAGG